AUACGGGGGAUGCGAGCGUUAUUCGGAAUCAUUGGGCGUAAAGGGCACGCAGGCGGUUCUGUCAGUCAGAUGUGAAAGCCCGGGGCUUAACCCCGGACGUGCAUUUGAAACAGCAGGACUUGAGUAUGGUAGAGGAAAGCGGAAUUCCUGGUGUAGAGGUGAAAUUCGUAGAUAUCAGGAGGAACACCGGUGGCGAAGGCGGCUUUCUGGACCAAAACUGACGCUGAGGUGCGAAGGCGUGGGUAGCGAACAGGAUUAGAAACCCCAGUAGUCC
rnacentral:rRNA from 1 species